GACGAACGCUGGCGGCGUGCUUAACACAUGCAAGUCGAACGGAAAGGCCCUGCUUUUGUGGGGUGCUCGAGUGGCGAACGGGUGAGUAACACGUGAGUAACCUGCCCUUGACUUUGGGAUAACUUCAGGAAACUGGGGCUAAUACCGGAUAGGAGCUCCUACUGCAUGGUGGGGGUUGGAAAGUUUCGGCGGUUGGGGAUGGACUCGCGGCUUAUCAGCUUGUUGGUGGGGUAGUGGCUUACCGAGGCUUUGACGGGUCGCCGGCCUGAGUAGGUGACCGGCCACAAUGGGACUGAGAUACGGCCCAGACUCCUACGGGGGACAGCGGUGGGAAAUAUUACACAAUGGGCGGAAGCCUGAUACAGCAGCGCCGCGGGCGGGAAGACGUCCUUCGGGGUAUAAACCGCUUUCGCCUGAGACGGAGCGUGAGUGACGGUAAUGGGUAAAGAAGCACCGGCUAACUACGUG
rnacentral:rRNA from 1 species